AUGAUUAUACUUAACUUUUAAGACUGUUGAUGUGUUUAUAUAUUCGCUUCAAAUUGUAAAGAUAUAUUAAAUUAGCGUUUAAUCAUUUCACGCAAUAUAUGCAUUUUUUUUUCAUUCAUCCUCGACGUUAGAAGGCGCCCUCUUAAACUAAACAAGUCACAAACACCAUAGAAGCAACACGAUUGCGUUUCAGGAAUUGAUAUGGACAUAACCAUGCUUUUGACUAGUUGAAGAAUACAAACAUCUUUGCAAUCAUUAAGGCAAUAUCAGUCUCCACAAAGACAACUUCUGAGAUGACAAUGGAGCUUGUGGUGAAAGAAAAAAUGUCAAAAACCCUUGCUCUCCGAAGACAUGAGGUGGUUGAAUUGUGCCCAACUUGCAGAAUUUAAAGAUCACUGGCCUGCUCUGUUUGACAUUCUCCAGAUUAAUGAAGAGUUUAGGAGAAUUACUACUCUGCACCUUGAGACAACAUUUAUUAAGAUGUUGGAUUACUACACUCCUAAACUUUUCACAAUAUUUUCCUGCAAAGGAGGAGCACUCGGACAGAUUUUGAAGAAGAAAACGGGUGCCAUACAGCAGACCUCACAUCAAAACAUAGAACAGACAAGAGAUGUUGUCCUCCGUUGCUUGGUCUAUUACUUGGGUGAAAAGGAGGAAGACCUCAUCCAGGAGUACAAUGUAAGUGUCUAAAACUAAUUCAGAUAUUUGUUUGCAGAAAACUGCAAUUAGCAUUU